UCCAGUGACCUCAGCUGUCCCACCCACUCCCAAGCACAGGGCGGGAAGCCCCAGUGCCUCCAGCCCUAGAGUGCCAGGUGCCAGCACCCUCCACCCUGGAGCCCUGGGUGGCGCAGCCCCAGUGCCCAGGGGCAUCUCAGCACUGGGCGACCUGAGCCACCCCAAGUUCCAGCAACAGACCAGCCGCCCCAGCCCCAGCACACUUCCCAGAAGAGGAGCAGCCUGCUUGGGCAGGGGCCAAGGGGAAGCAGCAAGCAGGAGGGGGCCUUGGGACGGAGUGUAGGCAUGGCCACACAGGGCUGUUUGGGGAAGCAUAGCCUUCCCCUGCCUAUGAUAUGGGCCUCCUACAGCUAUAGCUCUAGAAUAAUCAGCUUUCUCUGAGCAUUCCAAAGGUGAAAAGAAAACCUCAAUCAUUUGCAGACUUCUCUGGUCCCCGCCCCUAGGGUAGCUUGGUUUUUCUGAUUGAGUGUUCCUUACAAGAAGAACAAGGGAGCUUGAUUCUCAGCAAUAGCUUAGGACUCUCUCGAAACUCUUGAUUUGAGUAGGGGAAACAACUCUCUUCACUGUGCUUUCAAAACUUAUUAAGCAUCAUGGGUAAGAUAAUUGUAGUUUUUUAGGUGAUUUAUGAAAGCAGACCAGGACUGGGCUAGGAUGUGGGGGAAGAUGGAAUGAGAAACAGACAAGAUGACCUCACCGUUUACUUUUACCUGGUUCUUCUCUUGCUAAGUACGUUUGCAGUUCGUUAGCCUGUUUCUGCGGCUAAAAUGAAUAUACUUGGAAUAUUUUAAACUAGGGGGAUUGCAGGUCUUUGUCUCUUUCCUCUGUUCUCUUCAGCAGUUCCUCUGCUGUGCUUAUUUUGUUGGAAGCUGCAGUGCUUUUGUCCUUCAUGCACCUUGUGCUGCAAUGCAGCUGAGUGCUCCAUAGAUGACUUAAUCUCUGCACUUCACCUCAGUGUGAUACUGAUGCUCAGUAGCUCUAAAUCAACUCCUCUGCAUAGCCUGCCUCCUGGCUCAUGUUCGCUUCCUGGUGUUUCUCUAAAAUAGUUCCUCUCAAAACUGAUGUUCCCCCCUCCAGGCUCUGUCUGUGCAGACUGUAUACAUAGGAAAUGCUGCAAUCUGACAGGUCUGAUUCACUCAGCUUUGCUCGGUCCUUUCACAGAAGUGCUCUGAAAUGAGGAAUGACCAUUUUAACAGUCUCUGAGAUGCUGUAUUAUGAAAUGCAUCAGCUGGGGCAAAACUGUGUCUAGUUCCUUUGGUAGAGUAAUUGAAGUAGGAAUAAUUCCAACUGUGUUUCAGCCACAUUUCUGUUCCCGUCUAAAUCUCUCGUUUUUCCUCACUUGCUUCCUCAGGAGCAAGAAGAGGAGAUGGAAGCAGAGGAGCAGGAAGAGAAUUGUCGGUUUGAUUUGGAGAAGAUGAAGAUCACAGAGGGAGGAAAUAUGAUGCUGAUGACCUUUGAUGAGGUGGUUUUGUAUUUCUGCGAGGCAGAGUGGGGCUCUUGGAUGAAGAGCAGAGGGAAAUCUACAAGGAUGUCAUACAGGAAAAUUAAUCUCCCUGGGUAAGACUCUCAUAUAUUUAAGAAGCUGUGCAGUCUCUGAAGUGUCUAUGGCCAGCUUCCGCUCAGUGUCCUUCCCUGCCCCCUUAGAAUUAGAAAACCAGUCCCUACGGUACCCAGAAUCACUGCAAGAACAGACCAUCCUCUCCAUACCAACUCCCUUUCAAAGGCGGAUUCUGAAAUACUGCAGUGGAGCUAAUUCCCAGAGCUUUCUAUUGAGACAGAAUAGAGGGAUAGACUAGACAUGACAUAACAGAUCUGUUUCACUUAUUCUCACCAUUGUAUUACCUACUAAGAUUGGCUUUGUCUUUGCAAAAGGGAAAAUUCCUGUGGGAAGAGCCAUAGGGCUCAUUCUUGAAUACAAAACCAGAGUCUCUCUGUAGGCUUAGAAAUGGGCAAGUGAUUUAAUUUUUUACACUGUGUCAGUUGUCUUAUUUUCCUGUGUAUAGAGAUCCCUGAUUCUCCUUCAGAGAUUACAACACAUCUCCUAACAGUUAUUUACUCUUCCAGCAGGACUCGUGACAAUCUUCUCUCUAUUUGGAUUACACCCUUGCCUCUGGAUUUCCGAUUCCGAAGCCUGAGAUGAUAGCCCAGGUGGAAAGAGGGAAAGCCAUUUGUCCCAGAUCUCCAGCACUCUGAGGAAACGGAGAUCCUGAUUGUCAACUGCACAGGUGAGGCAACGAGUGAAGUAAAAACCUGGGAUUCUAAUAAUAAUGUCUCUGCUCUCUUUCAUCUUGUUAGCUGAUGUGCGAUGGCCAAGUCUGCAUCCUGUUGUC